rnacentral:tRNA from 1 species
GGAUAUGGCGAAAUGGUAGACGCGCUAGACUGUUAAUCUGGUAAUUGUGGUAAGCCUAAUGGCGAAUCGGUUCGACUCCGAUCCA